AGUGAACGCUGGCGGUAGGCCUAACACAUGCCAGUCGAACGGCAGCACAGUAAGAGCUUGCUCUUACGGGUGGCGAGUGGCGGACGGGUGAGGAAUACAUCGGAAUCUACUUUUUCGUGGGGAAUAACGUAGGGAAACUUACGCUAAUACCGCAUACGACCUACGGGUGAAAGCAGGGGAUCUUCGGACCUUGCGCGAUUGAAUGAGCCGAUGUCGGAUUAGCUAGUUGGGGGGGUAAAGGCCCACCAAGGCGACGAUCCGUAGCUGGUCUGAGAGGAUGACCAGCCACAAUGGAACGGAGACACGGUCCAGACUCCUCGGGGAGGAAGCAGUGGGGAAUAUUGGAAAAUGGGCGAAAGCCGGAUCCAGCAAUGCCGGGUGGGUGAAGAAGGUCUUCGGAUUGUAAAGCCUUUUUAUUGGGAAAGAAGAGCAGCAGGUUAAUACCCUGCUGUUUUGAGGUUACCAAAAGAAUAAGCACCGGCUAACUUCGUG
rnacentral:rRNA from 1 species